GACGACUGUUGCAUCACGCCUCAUUCACUGUCUGCUAACAACUCUUCCUGGUGUCUUGGUCACACUUGCUUCGUUUCAUUUGUAAUGCAGUAAAGGUUUGCCAGCUGCUGACCAUAAACUGAACAGGUAGCUUUGUCUGGUGGCUGGGGGCAGAGCAACGAGGCAGGCUCACUUGUCUUUGACUGGUGUUCCAUCCACCCAGAUCCAAUUUCCCUCCUGAUCCCUGUCAGACAUUCCAAUCCAUGCUGUCUCGGUGAAUCCGAAAGAUACCUGCUCCUGUCUGCUGUUGAUGAUGACCAGAUCAGCAUCCCUCUGCAGACAGUCCUGUCGGCUGUCGUCCCAACUCUUCCUCCGCGUGGAAAAGUAGUAACAGCUGAACCUGAACAGGAGCCAGUCUUUUGGACAGCCCUCCCCUGUCUCAACUGCACAAAGACCAAGUCUCUCUGAAUACACUUGUCAGAUUAAAAAGUUACACAACCCUUAGCAGACCUUGGUCAGUGAGAGAUACAACAUUAGAAUAUUCUUGCAGCAAGAAGAAAAAAUCAUGUUAGUCAUAUACUGCAGUACAUUAUUAUCCGUACAUUAUAGCGAUCUAAUUUAUCUUAUUUAUUGUGUAUUAUGUAAAACUAAGACAUGAAUAACAUCAAAUAAAAAAAAAACACAAAAUGAAUGCCGACCCACCAUCCACCUGUUCAAGUUCCAGCCAAGUUUUUCCAGAGAGAUUAUUACAUCGCUGUUUGACGUGUGUGGAAAAAGGCAGUGUGCUAGCAUGAAUUAACUUGAGACAAAUGUGCACACUAGCACUCAAAAAGUCACUAAAACUUACCUUUAUGCAUUCCCACAUAGUAUCAGCAUUUGACACCAAAUAUGCGGUGAAAGAAAAAUGGUAAAAAUACAGUAGUCGUCGAUCUGUGCGGCAAGAGAUGAAGUUAACGCACGCACAAUGGACAUGCGUCAAGUGAGACGGAUGUAACAGAGAGAAUCCGGCCAGUUUUCAAAAUAAAACAUUAAAAAAAAUUAAAUAAUGGAAAUUAUUUUUUCUUUCUGUGCGGCCCGGUACCAAAUGACCCACGGACCGCUGUUAUACUGUAUAUAGUACACAUGCAGUACGUAUGUAUGCAUAA